rnacentral:rRNA from 1 species
UACGUAGGGUCCGAGCGUUGUCCGGAAUUAUUGGGCGUAAAGGGCUCGUAGGCGGUUUGUCACGUCUGGAGUGAAAACUCAGGGCUCAACCCUGAGCGUGCUUCCGAUACGGGCAGACUAGAGGUAUGCAGGGGAGAACGGAAUUCCUGGUGUAGCGGUGGAAUGCGCAGAUAUCAGGAGGAACACCGGUGGCGAAGGCGGUUCUCUGGGCAUUACCUGACGCUGAGGAGCGAAAGCAUGGGGAGCGAACAGG